UGCGUAGGCGGACCAGUAAGUCAGUGGUGAAAUCUUUCGGCUCAACCGAGAAACUGCCAUUGAUACUGUUGGUCUUGAGUUCGGUAGAGGUAGGCGGAAUGUGUAAUGUAGCGGUGAAAUGCUUAGAUAUUACACAGAACACCAAUUGCGUAGGCAGCUUACUAUGCCGACACUGAGGCUGAGGCACGAAAGCGUGGGGAGCGAACAGGAUUAGAUACCCUGGUAGUCC
rnacentral:rRNA from 1 species